rnacentral:lncRNA from 1 species
GGCCAAAUAUUUAUUGAGCACCUACUCUGUGCCAGGCAUGUUCCAGGUGCUGAGAAUGAAGCAGAGAAGAGGAGGGACAAAAUUCCUGCGUUUCCCUUUCCCCAGGUUAGAGGAAGGAGGCCCCCUCCUCCCCCCUUUCUUCCACUCCUGGCCUCAUUCCCUUCUUCCCACUCCAUAACGUUGUAUAACGAUUUAAUUCCUGGGCUUGGUACGUGUGCGGCAUCCAAGUGGGCCUGGCGGGAGAGGAGCCCAGCUUCUGCCCCACUGAAGAGAUAAUUGAUAAAGAAUAUAGAAUAAAGAUAAAGAAUGGAGAAUAAGAGACCCCAGAACCAAAGCACGCGCCCACACACAAAAUCCGUCUUAGCGAUGUUUACCUUCUAGUGGGGAGGAACAGAAAAUAAGCAGCUGACGAUAUGGGCCAUGGAGAGAAGGAAAGCUACACUGUGCAGUCCCUGCACACCCUAAAUGACCAGAUAUCCCAUUUUAUCGUCACCAAGUCGAAGGCCCUGGAGGAAGACAAGGACCCCUUCCUACCCGCUGAGAAGGAGACUCUGAAGAGUUCCAUGAUACUGAUGAGGCAUCUCCUAAUGGACGCACAGGUACAGAGACGGACACGGAAAUUCUGCAUAGAAUCCGUGGUACCUUUCCUCGUGGUGUUUUUGGUGAAGUCAUGCAAAAUUGUUCAACUGCCACACUCCCAG